rnacentral:rRNA from 1 species
UACAGAGGUCCCGAGCGUUGUUCGGAUUCACUGGGCGUAAAGGGUGUGUAGGUGGCUUGGUAAGUCAGGUGUGAAAUCCCGCAGCUCAACUGCGGAACUGCAUUCGAUACUGCCGAGCUAGAGGAUCGGAGGGGGAAGCGGAAUUCUUGGUGUAGCGGUGAAAUGCGUAGAUAUCAAGAGGAACACCGGUGGCGAAGGCGGCUUCCUGGAAGAUACCUGACUCUGAAACACGAAAGCUAGGGGAGCGAAUGGG